AAUGAGAGCUGCGAGGGGCUGAACACGGCUGAGUGGUGUCCUGGCCGGAGUGAGCGUGCGGGGCUGUGAAAAGCGCCUUAAAUGCACGCUGUUAACUGAUAAAUAGCGGAUUUAGUUGGAGUUCUGGCGGCCUGGCAGGCUCUGGUCUGUCCUGGCUGGAAGAUUCUGUAGUAGGGGUUCAUAAUUCAAGUGGGAAACGGGAAGUUACCUGAACAAUGCAUAAAAAAUAAACAACAAAUCUCAAUCGCAGGUGUACCCAGCAGCCUGGCUCUCCGUGCUAACAGGCAGCCGCAGUGGGAUCAGGUGUGUCUAAAUUAGUCCCAGCAGGUGGGUUAGAAACUCGGCUCUGGGUCAGGAAUGACUUCAGUGUGUGCCUGUUAAUGAUAAACAGCUGCGUUAAAAAACAAGUUGUUAUUUCGGGCUCCUGUUUGCUACUUCGCAGGUUGUUACAGUAAUGAAAGACUUUAGGUUCAUUACAGGAGAUGCAUGUGCUAAUUAGCAGCCCAGUUAAUAGGGCAGACUGGGAGCUGUGCUUGCUGCUCCCCGGAUUUCCAAAACCUCAGGAGAAGGAACGCAGGGAUGCAGUGUGAGCAUCAGAGGCAGGAUUAUUUCUGUUUUCAGCCGUGCUUUAGGGAUAGCAGAAAAAUAAUGAAGAAAACGAUGACUAAUGAGCGGCUGUGCCCGGGCUGGGGUUCCCCUUGUGAAGGAACAUUUCUGCACCCCGAGAGAAGCUGCCCAGGAUUCCAGAGGUUAGGAAGAGCUCGGAGGUGCGGUGGGAGAGGAGCGCUGUCCCCAGCAGGUGGCAGGAGCCGCCUUCCCGCACGCUCCGCGCCGCUGUCCAUGGUUACCCACGGCAGCCCGGGAUGCUCGGGAACAGCAGCGGGAAAGGGGCGGUGUGGGGCACAGGUUGUCCCUGGAGAACAAUCCCAGCCUGUCCCAGCUGGAAGCACUGAGCCAGGCAUUGCUUCUGGACCAGUUUCUCCCUGAGUUUGGGAUUUGGAGCUGUGCCUGCACAGGAGCAGGAGGAAUUCCCUGUCCUCCUGGGGAGCAUCUUCCCCUGCACCGCCUCAGAAUGAGAAUUUCCAGUUUGGUUAUUAAUUAUAAUUCUGGCUCAAGAUGUUUCUAUGGGGCAUUCAGGUGUCGUUUUUCUAAUCACCAUCCUGGUAAUUAAUCUGCCAGCCAAGCUCCCUCACUAUAUAUUAUAUAUACACUAGCAGCCUGCCUCGUGUUGGUCUGUCCCAUUAAACCUUCUGGAGCUUUCUGGGGCUGCUCACAAGUUUUGUGAAAGUUCUCUGUGAUAAGCUCAGGUUGUGGUCAGUUAAUAAUCUUAUUUAACCAGUGAUUGAAUGAAAAUACUUAGUUACUAUCACCAAAAAUGAAUAUUCCCCUCAGCAUCUUUACAAGCACAAAAUAUAAAUAUUUGUUUUAUCAUUUUCUAAGAGUUACUGUAUUGAUUCCCAAUAACAGAUUCAAGCUAUUACAAUCAUUUCCCCUGUUAUUCUUUUAAAACAUCCUUGUUGUCCUUUCUCUUAUUAGUAAAGUUGUAUUUUUACUCAUCUCUGUAACUUUUGAGUGUUUUUGCUAAGUGAUCCCUCUGAUCUCCAUUGGUUGCAAGGCUGAUUUUUUAAAACACAGAUUUUUUUUGUGCCUGUUAUUAAUACAGAGCACAUUGUGAUGAUGGAGAGUCCUGGUUUGGGCUGGGACAGAGUUCAAUUCCUUCCCAGGAGCUGGGACAGUGAUUUGGGUUCAGGAUGAGGAUAAUGAGCGAGGAGCUGGGGUUAAACCACCAGAGGCUGACAUUAUUUCCCUGCAAGGUGAGAUGUUCUCCCAGUGCCAAGAUUUGGCAAGAAGUCACGCAGAAGUAACAAAGGAAAUAAAAAACUCUCCUGGCUCAUAACUCAGGCUGUUUUAAAGAGGAUUCUUUCUCUGGUGGUCAUUUCCCAGCAGUGAAAUUGCAGUGUUUCCAUUCAUGGAAGAGAAAUCACCUCAGAAAUAACAAAUAAUUCAAACUCAUGCAUCUGAGCAAGCCCUGAACUAAAAUGGUGUAAAAUGGGACAGUGCUUAAGGCAGAGCCCUCUGCUUUUCCUGUCUGGAUUUUCUUCACCAAGGCCUAAGCCACUGCUGGAAAGACUCCCUGUGUGAUUCCCUGCUAACUGGAAAUGGGGAAAACAAAGUUCCUGUCUGUUCUUUAGAGCAAGAGCUGGUAAUUUCAUUCUCUCCUGGAGUGUUACUCCAGUGGUGAUGAGAUUUAGCCUAAUCUGCAUUAAUGCUGCCUUUUAGCAUCGGUUUAGGAAGGAGCCCAAAACCCCACCUGGAGCUCCACAGGGCUGUUCUGGAACAGGCACAGAGCUGGAGAUCCAUCCUUUAUAGGGAAUAAUAAAUGUUAAUGCACUCCUUAGCAUUUCAAUGCCAUGAUUAAAUAUUCCAGAGCCUUAUUAAUUGAAUAUUUUAUAUUCCUGCAAAUGGCCUUGAUCCUCACAAUGGCAUACUAAUUCCAAGGGAAAGGAGAGGGAACACGUUCAGAUUCCUGCAAGAAUUCCCUGCAAACAAG